rnacentral:rRNA from 1 species
AUUGAACGCUGGCGGCAGGCUUAACACAUGCAAGUCGAGCGAGUGGCGGACGGGUGAGUAAUGUAUGGGAAACUGCCCGAUGGAGGGGGAUAACUACUGGAAACGGUAGCUAAUACCGCAUACCAUCAGAUGUGCCCAGAUGGGAUUAGCUAGUAGGUGGGGUAACGGCUCACCAAGGCAACGAUCCCUAGCUGGUCUGAGAGGAUGACCAGCCACACUGGAACUGAGACACGGCCCAGACUCCUACGGGAGGCAGCAGUGGGGAAUAUUGGACAAUGGGCGCAAGCCUGAUGCAGCCAUGCCGCGUGUAUGAAGAAGGCCUUCGGGUUGUAAAGUACUUUCAGCAGGGAGGCGGUACCCGCAGAAGAAGCACCGGCUAACUCCGUGCCAGCAGCCGCGGUAAUUC